UUGUGCUCUCUUCGGCACACGUAUACUAAAACUGGAAGGAUACGGAGAAGAUUCAUUCACAUGGCCCCUGCGCAAGGAUGACACGCAAACUCGGGAAGCGUUCCAUAUUUUA